GAAGGCCCAAACUCUAGGAGCCAAAUGGAUUGCCUUCAAAAGCUUCUCGUUCGCGAACAUGGCCAAAAAUGGAACUCUCGUGCUUGUCUCGAACACCAAAGGCCAACCAAAUAUGAAAUCGCGAUUACUCGGAUUCAUCUUCAACUUCAACAGAUCAAAAUCAUCAUCAACCUCAACUCUCCUAAUCAAUCUGGAUCUACCCGCAGAAAAGGGAUUCCUAACUUACAAUUUCAUUAAUUCAAUGCGACGAGAUUCAAUGGUCAAAAGGGAAGAGAAAACGUAACUAACCUUCGAAGUCGUGAUUUGCUUCGGUUAUUUGCUGAAGGAUACGAGGAUGGAAUCGAAAGCAAUACAAUCUCCACGUAGAAGACGACACUCUCAGGUUGCAGGAAGAAAAUCUCGAGUUUCUGUGUCGAAAACUCAAACUGCAGAACGGAAUCUCCAGUUGCAAAAUGGAACACUCAAGUUGCAGAGCAAAGAUUCUCAGUUGCAGAAUGAAGUAAAUCGGAUGCAGGAGAAGAAGAACUCUGAUGCAGAAUGAAGGAAAUCGGAUGCAGAAGAAGAAGAACUCUGAUGCAGAAUGAAGCAAAUCGGAUGCAGAAGAAGAACUCUGAUGAAAAAUAAAGCAGAUCGGAUGCAGGAUGAAAAAUACUCCCUCUGCAGAAUGAUGGUGAAAAAAGGCCAUGGCUGAAUCUGAUGUCUGCAAUCACCAAUUAUCUUUUUCCUUUUAAUUCAAAUGGUUAGUGUCACUGAGUUUCAGCUCAGAAACUGCUUACUGUGAUGUUGUUUUGUGUCUGUGAAGAGUUUUUUUUAAAGAAGAAACUCAACUUCUGUCAUGGUUAAGCUGAUGGUUUGACUGUUGUUGCCAUUGUAGGAUGCUUGGGAAUUAAAUGAAUUUAAUUAUCGAAUGUAGGAUUAGCUUUUGGUUGUUAAUUGAUCUCAUUAUGGAUCUGAAGUGAGUUGGUCUAACUGUUGUGCCUGUUACAUGCUGCUAGCAAAUUAGGAACUCUACUAACAUGGUUAAAUCUAUAUGAAAAUGAUGGUAAUGAUCAUGCCAAAUUGCUCUCUCUGUUUGAUUCUGACAGUAGGUCAUAGAGCUAGGGAUUCAUACAUUGUUGAAUGAUGAAGUCCACAAGCAUCCAUCCUAUUGAAAGGGGUAGCAACAAUGUAACACAAAAAUCCACAAGCUUGGUGGUAAGGCGAAAUCAAGCUUGGCUAUGGAAUGAUUUUACAGAAUGAGAUGGUUUUGAAGAUCAAUUUGAAAUGUUUUUUUUUGUGAAAUCUUAAUUUGAAAUGUUAUGAAUGUAAAUUUGGAAAUUUGGAAAUGGAAAUGAAUGGUAGUUAAGUUUGAAAUGGAA